AGAGUUUGAUCCUGGCUCAGGAUGAACGCUGGCGGCGUGCUUAACACAUGCAAGUCGAACGUGAUCCUGACUUCGGUUGGGUGAAAGUGGCGGACGGGUGAGUUAUACAUAGGUGACCUGCCUCAAGGUUGGGAAUAACCAUGCGAAAGCAUGGCUAAUGCCCCUAAUGUUUAGGAGUUUAGACGCCCUAAACUAAAGUAACAACGCCUUGAGAGGGGCCUGUGGGCUAUCAGCUUGUUGGUGGGGUAAUGGCCUACCAAGGCGAAGACGGCUAGGGGGCGUGAGAGCGCGACCCCCCACAAUGGAACUGAGACACGGUCCAUACUCCUACGGGAGGCAGCAGUGAGGAAUAUUGCGCAAUGGGGGCAACCCUGACGCAGCAACGCCGCGUGAACGAUGAAGGCUUUCGAGUCGUAAAGUUCUUUUCUGAGGGAAGAUAGUGACGGUACCUUAGGAAUAAGUCCCGGCUAACUACGUGCCAGCAGCCGCGGUAAAACGUAGGGGGCGAGCGUUAUCCGGAUUUAUUGGGCGUAAAGAGCACGUAGGUGGUGCUAUAAGUUGGGCGUGAAAGCUCCUGGCUCAACUGGGAGAGGCCGUUCAAUACUGUAGUGCUUGAGGUUGGAAGAGGAGAGUAGAAUUCCCGGUGUAGUGGUGGAAUGCGUAGAUAUCGGGAGGAAUACCUGUGGCGAAAGCGACUCUCUGGUCCACACCUGACACUGAGGUGCGAAAGCGUGGGUAGCGAACGGGAUUAGAUACCCCGGUAGUCCACGCCGUAAACGAUGGAUACUAGGCGUAGGAGGUUUCUUACCCCUUCUGUGCCGUAGCUAACGCGUUAAGUAUCCCGCCUGGGGACUACGGCCGCAAGGCUAAAACUCAAAUGAAUUGACGG
rnacentral:rRNA from 1 species